UUCACUCUCGCGUUGUGUUUUGAUCGUUCGAAACUCAUUGCCAGAACGAAUGCAAAUUUCAUUUUGGAAGGAUCGGUGCCGGAAGAGGCAGCGAAAAUUAUGAAAUGAUAAUAGAAAAGCGGUUAAGUAAAUCGUGAAAGAUGUCAACGCAAGCGUAAAUGCAGUUUGUUUUGUUACUUGAUCUACGGCUAUUUCAUCACCAAAGCUUCUGAUAACAGAUCAAAGUAGAUGGAUAGGGCAUACAGAGUCGCCGUUUAAUUUAAAAUAUCUUCGUGAUCGGCAAACGCAUCAAACAGCAAGUGUUUUUCCUUCCAACAGCACGCACCAUCGGUGGUGCAGUAGCUAACGUUUUGUUCGCCCAGCGCGCACCAUCAAGAAUUGAAAUAUUCCGAAUAGCUUUGUGAAUAAAAAAACUGCACACUUACUGUAGGAA